rnacentral:rRNA from 1 species
AGAGUUUGAUCCUGGCUCAGAACGAACGCUGGCGGCGCGUCUUAAGCAUGCAAGUCGAACGGUAAGGGAGAGCUUGCUCUCCCCUAGAGUGGCGGACUGGUGAGUAACGCGUGGGUGACCUGCCCUGAAGAUGGGGAUAGCUAGUAGAAAUAUUAGAUAAUACCGAAUGUGCUCAUUUACAUAAAGGUAAAUGAGGAAAGGAGCUACGGCUCCGCUUCAGGAUGGGCCCGCGUCCCAUUAGCUGGUUGGUGAGGUAAAGGCUCACCAAGGCAACGAUGGGUAUCCGGCCUGAGAGGGUGAACGGCCACAUUGGGACUGAGAUACGGCCCAAACUCCUACGGGAGGCAGCAGCUAAGAAUAUUCCGCAAUGGACGGAAGUCUGACGGAGCGACGCCGCGUGGAUGAAGAAGGCUGAAAAGUUGUAAAAUCCUUUUGUUGAUGAAGAAUAAGGGGAAGAGGGAAUGCUUCUCUGAUGACGGUAAUCAGCGAAUAAGCCCCGGCUAAUUACGUGCCAGCAGCCGCGGUAACACGUAAGGUGCGAGCGUUGUUCGGAAUUAUUGGGCGUAAAGGGCAUGCAGGCGGGUCGCCAAGCUUGGUAAGAAAUACCGGGGCUCAACUCCGGAGCUAUAUUGAGAACUGGCGAGCUAGAGUUGCCGAAGGGUAUCCGGAAUUCCGCGUGAAGGGGUGAAAUCUGUAGAUAUGCGGAAGAACACCGAUGGCGAAGGCAGGAUACCGGCGGACGACUGACGCUGAGGUGCGAAGGUGCGGGGAGCAAACAGGAUUAGAUACCCUGGUAGUCCGCACAGUCAACGAUGUACACUGGGCGUGUGCGCAAGAGCGUGCGUGCCGAAGCAAACGCGAUAAGUGUACCGCCUGGGGAGUAUGCCCGCAAGGGUGAAACUCAAAGGAAUUGACGGGGGCCCGCACAAGCGGUGGAGCAUGUGGUUUA